UACAGAGGGUGCAAGCGUUAAUCGGAAUUACUGGGCGUAAAGCGUGCGUAGACGGUUAUGUAAGUCAGAUGUGAAAGCCCAGGGCUCAACCUUGGAAUUGCAUUUGAGACUGCAUAGCUAGGGUGCGGAAGAGGGAAGCGGAAUUUCCGGUGUAGCGGUGAAAUGCGUAGAUAUCGGAAGGAACACCAGUGGCGAAAGCGGCUUCCUGGUCCAGCACCGACGUCAGGCACGAAAGCGUGGGGAGCAAACAGG
rnacentral:rRNA from 1 species